UAGUGGCGAACGGGUGAGUAACACGUGGGCAAUCUGCCCUUCACUCUGGGACAAGCCCUGGAAACGGGGUCUAAUACCGGAUAACACCUGCCCGGGCAUCCGGGUGGGUUAAAAGCUCCGGCGGUGAAGGAUGAGCCCGCGGCCUAUCAGCUUGUUGGUGAGGUAGUGGCUCACCAAGGCGACGACGGGUAGCCGGCCUGAGAGGGCGACCGGCCACACUGGGACUGAGACACGGCCCAGACUCCUACGGGAGGCAGCAGUGGGGAAUAUUGCACAAUGGGCGAAAGCCUGAUGCAGCGACGCCGCGUGAGGGAUGACGGCCUUCGGGUUGUAAACCUCUUUCAGCAGGGAAGAAGCGAAAGUGACGGUACCUGCAGAAGAAGCGCCGGCUAACUACGUGCCAGCAGCCGCGGUAAUACGUAGGGCGCAAGCGUUGUCCGGAAUUAUUGGGCGUAAAGAGCUCGUAGGCGGCUUGUCACGUCGGGUGUGAAAGCCCGGGGCUUAACCCCGGGUCUGCAUUCGAUACGGGCUAGCUAGAGUGUGGUAGGGGAGAUCGGAAUUCCU
rnacentral:rRNA from 21 species